GCGGUUGUGGCGGAACUGGUAGACGCGCUAGAUUCAGGUUCUAGUGGGGCAACCCAUACAGGUUCAAUUCCUGCCAACCGCACCA
rnacentral:tRNA from 1 species